GUAUUUGAUGCAGUAUGAUCUAUUGUUAUAGGUAUCUAAAAAUGGAUCCCACCAGAACACAAAGACUAAGUCUAUGAGGAAAAUAAAGUUUUAGAUCAACGACUAAAAAUUGUCAUGAACAGAUAAAAUAUGAGAUAGAGAUAGAACUGGUAUGAAAGGUGACAGUAGAACAUUGACAUAAUUUGAAAGGUAGGUAUAUAUAUAUAUAGUUUUACACUCAAUUAUGAUUUUUUUAAAGUAAGUAUUUGCAAUUAUUCCUAUAAUUUUAUUUCAAUAUCAUGAAAUGUUGUAGUGUGUUCAUAUGACAACAAACCAACAACGAGCAAAUUCAAAAGAAUAAAGAGUAGAAAUACAAUUCUUCAACAAUUGAAAGAUAUCAUUAAAGUUAACAAAAAAGUCUACGGGAAGUACAUAUUCGUACACACAACUUCUCAUUUAACUGUUUCACAGAUUGCAUUGAUAUUGUGCUCGAAUAAUCAGAUUAUAUUAAUACAUAUGUGUUUUGUGCCGAUCCAAAGAUGUCAGAGUGUUACAGCAGGACAUAGUUGAACUUAGAAACCUAAAGGAAAUAUAAACAAACAUCUCCUUCUCUGUAACCGAAUAACAGAUUUAAAAAAUAGUAUAUAUUAUAAUCUAGAAUUUCCACUGGUACUAAUAAUGAAAAAAUUCACAAAAAGAAUACUUUUUAUUAUUUUUUUAAACUAUUGCAUAGUGUAUAAAAUAAUAAAAAGUUGUAGGAUUGUCACUGAGACAACUAUCCACCAAAUUUGAGACGAUGUGAAUGUGAACAAAUAAUAUACAACUGUGCAGACUUCAACAAUGAGAAAACCCAUACCGUAUUGUCGGCUACAAAAGACCAUGACAUAAAACAAUAUAUGAAACAAUUUAAUUUAGAAAAAUUAACGACCUAAUUUAUAACAAAACAAAUUAAAAAUGUUAAAAGUGCAGCCCGUAUUGAAAACAUGGAGAUUUGCCAUGAACCCAGACUUGGGACGCUAAAAUUCUUCUCCAAAUCGUAUAAGAUCAGGCCCUGAAGUCAUAAAAAAAUUUCUCAGUGCCCGGAGAAAAAAAAUCGUGGUCGAAAAUUGAAAUCCAGCAUUUUGAUUGGUUGAUUUGUUGAUUUUGGAGUUUGAGUAAAUAACUGACUCGAAAGUUUUUAAAAUGACUUCAAGGCCAGUUUUCAAGUAGGUAAAUCAAACAUUGUUCCAUUUUUUUCUUUCAUUUUUCUCCCUGUAUAAUAUAAACCUUGUAUAAUUAACGUUAUACCACCUUUAGCAAUGCAUGUACACUGAUUCACAUUAUGUCAUGGUUGACCUAGUAUGUUUAAUCUUAUUAUUGGACUUUAACAAAAUGAUAAAUGUUAUAAUCCACUUUUUCCUUUCCAGAAACAAGUUGGCAAAGAUAUAUAUCACAUGCAUAGGAAGAGC
rnacentral:lncRNA from 1 species